AGCUUCCUCCCCCCGUUGUUAUGGCAUGGACAGGAACAGCUUCACUGCUGCACAGCCAAUCGCUUUAAAAGACAGGAAUAGUUCCCAAAUGACACAGGACAUUGUCCUUAGGCAAACUAGGAGCAAUUUUCCCAUGUUCUCAUUCAGGCACUGUCCUUUCAAUAAGCAGCCUGGCUUUUUCCAGUGUUUAAAAAGUCAUGGCCUAAAUAUCUGCAUGCAGCUGCUACAGCAUCAACUGUUCCAGCUCUGCCUCUCAAGUGCUGCUGCCUGAAAUCACAGAAUGGGUCAGAUUGGAAGGGACCACAGUAGAUCAUCUGGUCCAACCUCCCUGCUCGGGCAGGGUCAUCCUAGAGCACAAGGCACAGGACUGUGUCCAGACAGCUCUUAAGUAUCUGCCUCAAGAGAAACUCCACAACCCCUCUGGGCACCCUGUUCCAGUGGAUAGUCACCAGCACAGUCAGGAAGCUCUUCCUCAUGGGCAGGUGGAACUUCCUGUGUAUCAGUCUCUGCCCGUUGCCUCUUGUCCUAUUGGUGGGAUGUCCUAUCACUGAGAAGAGCCAGGAUCCAUCCUCUUUACACCCUCCCUUCAAAUGUUUGUAAACAUUGAUCAGGCCCAUUCUCAGUCAUGUCAGAAGAAGAACAGGCCCAGCUUCCCCAGCCCUUCCUUGUAAGAGAGAUGCUCUCAUCCCUUGCUUUUUUAUUCAGGAGCCCAUUAGCCAUGACAAGACAGCAACACUGAAACAGGAGUGCUUCCAGCAGCUGGCAGAAUAGAGCACACUGGAAAUCUGCCAGAAGCAAAGCCAGGAUUUAUUUGAUGGUGUUAAGAUGUUCAUAUAUAAAAGACGUGAAGAAGAGAGAGAUGAAACUUAGGCAGUGGAGAAAGGAGGGGAACCAUACAUAAUAAAGAACAGCCACAUUAAAUUUUCAGGUCAAAAUUUCUGGGUGCACAACAAAUUUGUGCUUUUAGAAUGCUCAGAAACUAUGUAUAUAAAAAUUGAAUAAAAGGUGUAAAGACACACAGUAACUAUGUAUUCCUUUUCCUGGGGAAAAAAUUUUUUUUUGCACAAAGUGUUUACUUCUGUAGUUCAGAAACAUCUUCGGUACCUCAAUCAGGAAACAUAGUCUGUGAAGUAAAAACAAAUGUUUGAAAAUUUUUAAAAUUAUACAAAAGUAUCCAAGAUCAUCACUGCUUCUGGAGAGGGAUCUAUGAUACCAUGACUAUUUGUCCUUAAGUACUGAGACAGUAAAAGUGACAAGCCUUGUGCUCAGGACAGCACCAAGGAAAGGAAGUUAUCCCAUUUAAUCUGAACCACAAAAACAUUUCCAGCCAGGGUUUUUGUACUGCAGCCUAUUUAUCUUCAUCUUAAUCUAGACAUGUCAAUAGAUUUUUCCAUCAUUUUAGAAGAUUUCAUUACUCUGAAACUGUAAGGAAAAAAAGGCAUUCCAGCACCUGGAGAACAAUACCCAGCUCUGCAUGGGCCAGCAAAAUCCACUCCUCAAAGAUACAAACUGAGGAUGAAAGGAAUCAGACAGAAAAGCUGCCAGACUUAGUAGUAGAAAUAGGUGAUUUAUCAGAAGCUGAGAACUAGAGAAGAAAAAAAAUUUAAAAUUAAAGUAAAAUAAAAUAAAAUAUUAAAGGAAAUCAGCAAGCACUUUCUAAGAGCUCACUCAGACUGAUGGUACUGCUAAGAUUUGCAGGAAACCAAAUGUUUUGAGGAAAUCAUGGCAAUACAUAUUCAACUAUACAAAUCAGUUUUCUCAAUCUAUUAUUGCUUUGCUGUGCAUGCUGUGAGCUCUGAAAGCAGACAUAUUUAUUUAUUUAAGAGAAAUGGUGUGGGUUUGCCUAAUUUGCAUGUUCCACA